rnacentral:rRNA from 1 species
GAUGAACGCUGGCGGCGUGCCUAAUACAUGCAAGUCGAGCGAACAGACGAGGAGCUUGCUCCUCUGACGUUAGCGGCGGACGGGUGAGUAACACGUGGAUAACCUACCUAUAAGACUGGGAUAACUUCGGGAAACCGGAGCUAAUACCGGAUAAUAUAUUGAACCGCAUGGUUCAAUAGUGAAAGACGGUUUUGCUGUCACUUAUAGAUGGAUCCGCGCCGCAUUAGCUAGUUGGUAAGGUAACGGCUUACCAAGGCAACGAUGCGUAGCCGACCUGAGAGGGUGAUCGGCCACACUGGAACUGAGACGCGGUCCAGACUCCUACGGGAGGCAGCAGUAGGGAAUCUUCCGCAAUGGGCGAAAGCCUGACGGAGCAACGCCGCGUGAGUGAUGAAGGUCUUCGGAUCGUAAAACUCUGUUAUUAGGGAAGAACAAAUGUGUAAGUAACUAUGCACGUCUUGACGGUACCUGAUCAGAAAGCCACGGCUAACUACGUG